CCCUUAGAUGUUCUGGGCUGCACGCGCGCUACACUGACGCACGCAACAGGUGCCUGCUCCGAGAGGACUGGGUAAUCAUUUGAGUGUGCGUCGUGAUGGGGAUAGAAUAUUGUAAUUAUUACUCUUCAACGAGGAAUUCCUAGUAAGCGCCAGUCAGCAGCUUGCGCUGAUUACGUCCCUGCCCUUUGUACACACCGCCCGUCGCACCUACCGAUUGAAUGGUCCGGUGAAAUCUUGGGAUUUUGUUUUGUUUGCAUUUAUUUGUGUCGAGACGAGAGAACUUGAGUAAACCUUACCAUUUAGAGGAAGGUGAAGUCGUAACA
rnacentral:rRNA from 1 species